GUUUGUCAAACUGUUGUUUUUUUUUUACUUCCGAUUUUUAACUAAAUGUAUUUGAAGUGGGAAAUUUUAGUAGAGAUUAGGACAAACUGGUUAAAGCACGAAUUGCGGCUUAAUUUUUACUAUAAAGCGAUAUCAAAUCGAAUCAUCUGAAUUGUUAACCGAAAUGAAAGUAUGUAUACUUAUCUAACCAUCUCUGGUGGAUGCCAAUCUUCGUGGAACAAUCAUCUCUUAAUUGAACAUUGGAUUAUUUAAUUAACUUUAUUAAAAUCCUAGAUAAAGUCGCUUCGGAACGUGAACCGAACUACUGAGAAUUUAUUAUGUUGUCUUGCAGCCCUGGUUAAUAUUUAAAAAAUAAUUUUAAUAACAUAUUUAAAAGUUGACCAGUAUUCGAUUUAGUAAAGACUUUGAAGAUGCCUAUUCCAAGACCCAAACUAAGAUAAACUUAAAUUAUGCCUAUGAUAAUAAAAAGUAUGCCCUUUAA